AAGGGCUCACCAAGGCGACGAUCCCUAGCUGGUCUGAGAGGAUGAUCAGCCACACUGGAACUGAGACACGGUCCAGACUCCUACGGGAGGCAGCAGUGGGGAAUAUUGCACAAUGGGCGCAAGCCUGAUGCAGCCAUGCCGCGUGUGUGAAGAAGGCCUUCGGGUUGUAAAGCACUUUCAGUCGUGAGGAAGGUAGUGUAGUUAAUAGCUGCAUUAUUUGACGUUAGCGACAGAAGAAGCACCGGCUAACUCCGUGCCAGCAGCCGCGGUAAUACGGAGGGUGCGAGCGUUAAUCGGAAUUACUGGGCGUAAAGCGCAUGCAGGUGGUUUGUUAAGUCAGAUGUGAAAGCCCGGGGCUCAACCUCGGAAUAGCAUUUGAAACUGGCAGACUAGAGUACUGUAGAGGGGGGUAGAAUUUCAGGUGUAGCGGUGAAAUGCGUAGAGAUCUGAAGGAAUACCGGUGGCGAAGGCGGCCCCCUGGACAGAUACUGACACUCAGAUGCGAAAGCGUGGGGAGCAAACAGGAUUAGAUACCCUGGUAGUCCACGCCGUAAACGAUGUCUACUUGGAGGUUGUGGCCUUGAGCCGUGGCUUUCGGAGCUAACGCGUUAAGUAGACCGCCUGGGGAGUACGGUCGCAAGAUUAAAACUCAAAUGAAUUGACGGGGGCCCGCACAAGCGGUGGAGCAUGUGGUUUAAUUCGAUGCAACGCGAAGAACCUUACCUACUCUUGACAUCCAGAGAACUUUCCAGAGAUGGAUUGGUGCCUUCGGGAACUC
rnacentral:rRNA from 1 species